CAAAAUAUUAAGGAAAUUUUAGUUAUAAAAAUAUUAUUCUUGAUAUACUUUACUGGUUUAAUUUGAUAAUAUAUUUAUAAAAAUGUUAAAAAUUAAUUCUCUAUUCCUAUGGAUAUUAAUUGCUUUUGCAUUCAUUUCCUUGUCGAUAACAAGUUGCAGUGAAACUGAAAAUCGUCACAUUAGAAGUUACUAUGUAGGGAGAACUGUAUCAAGCGCCUACUUACCAAAAAUUCGCAUUGGAUAAGCUGACCAACUUUAAAAAGCGUAAAGAAGAGAAGGAAGCUAAAUCU